CUAUCAACCCGCUAAAAUCCCCAUUCUAGUCCCCUCGCUCUGUGGAGAGGACCUGGUCGCCACUCUCCUCUUCCUGCAGCCUGGUCUCCCUCCAAACCCUAGCCCCGCACGCCGCCGGCCGCGCUGCUCCGCCUCCUCCUCUCCUCCACUUUUCUCCUCCCUCCCUCCCUUGAUCUGUUUUCUCUCCUUGCCCGCGCCGCCUCCUCCCGCACGGAUAAGACCGGAUCCCCGCCGCAACCGGUAGAGCUCCUCACCGGCGGCGGCCAGAUCGGUUUCUUCGGUGGCCAGAUCGGUUUCGUUGACGCCAGCGCCGAUGUCAAAGUCGUCCCGCAUAGCGCCGUCCAACAUUAUUCUAGCAAAGCGUCUCUCUCUCUCUCCCCCAAAAAAGAAAAGAAGAAAGGGAGCGGCCGCCGGCGUAAGUGGCGGAGGCGGAGGGAAGAAAGGUGCGGCCUUUCUUGCCUAAAAUUCCAGCGGCGGAGGCGAAUCCAAGGAGGAGGAGGAGGGAGGGAGGCUAAAUCCUCGUCGUUCGUCCCCCGGAUCGCCAUUUCCGCGCGAGCGAGAGAUUCGUCCUCCGACGACAGAGAUGCAGGCCGCCGCCCCGUGGAGCAAGGGCCUCCCCGGCCUGCGGAGCCACCUCUGCGCUGCAGUGUCGUUCCACUCCACGCCCGCCUCCCCCGCCAAGUGGAAGGGCAAGUUCGAUUCCAAGCAUGAACAUGAGGAACGGAAGCUAUCCAAGGUAUGCUUGGGACACAUCUCUCAGUUGUAAUCUGGACUGGUUGGGAAAAUGAGCGCCACCAUUAAUGUCAAACACACUUGAAGCUCAAAUCAUCAGUUUAACUUCAUGCCUGUUGCAGCUUGCAAGAUGCAACAGUGACUGCAAGGAGUUAUACUAAGGGAGUAAAUGUACUCCCUCUGUUCAUUGAUAUAAGGCGUUUUGGCAGUACAAAUUGAGACUGGUUGGGAACAUGAGCACCAUUAUAUUAAAAUGAAGAGAGAUAGUAUAUUUUACUACAUAUUUUUCCUCACGGUGCUUGCAUUCUCAUACAGUUGCAUAGAGCUCUUGGUAAUUGUUUUCUAAAAACUUGCUAGCAUAUAAGGUUUUAUAGCUACAUACCACAAUUUGAUUUGUGAAAAUGGAAUUGAGCACCUCUCACUGUGUUAUGCAUUUGUUUCACUGCCAUGUGUUUAGUAGAUCAUGAACUGAUGCAUUCAAGGGAUCUCCAAAAGAUGGAAGGCACUCUUUCUCCUUUGCAUUUGGAGGAAAUGGAUCUGGCCCGAUCUUUAAGGCAAAAUAAAUUCAGAAUUAAAUUAUGUGAGAAAAAAUCCUCAGAAGGUGGAAACCAGGGUGGUUCUCUUAACAAAAAGCUCAAAAAGGAUAAGCUUGUAGGUCCAACACGGAAAAAUACCAAAUCUGAAACAAGCAUGGUUUCUGCGGCACCUCGUGUGAAACCGGAGCUAACCCUUCCAGCAACGUAAUUUUUUUCCUCUUUGUAAAUUUCUCUAUGCGAAGCUCUGUUUGAUCUACAGUUCUAAAUUAUUCCUCAACUGUAGCCUUUGAAAAAUAUAAAUACCAUUCCUAUAACUGAAUGUGAGUGUCAUGUGGCCUUCUUGGAACCAAAAAUUAAGGCUGAAGUGUUUUGUGCGGGGUCUCUUAGAUUCAUUUGAGAACAUAAUGGGUUCACCUUUUAACAAUGUGUAUUGAUUUCCUUUGAAAAAUAGUGGGUGUUUAAUGUGAUGUAUCUCAAAGUGUGGGGCGUCCAGGAAUUUUAGAAUCUAACUUGAAAAUGAUAUGAGAGAAGUCUUGAGCCUUAUGCUAUUAUUUUGAAAAAGGGCAAUAUUGCACACAAAUAAAUUCAAUAGUAUUUUGGCUCAGAAAUGAACUAUUGAAUUCAAAGGAGCAUUUUGACCCUAUAGUGCUCUGAAUAGUUUGAUGUCAAGUCCUUCUAGAAGUCUAGGAAGAAUAUGGCGAGAGGAAAUGAAAUGUUCGGACUCAUCGUACCAGCCAAAUGUAGGACACUUCAUUUCCUCUCGUCAUUGCCAUCCUGAAUUUGACCUGCCAAACACCAACUGAAGGAAGAAUACUCCUGCAGAACUGAUGUUAGUUUUGUUGAGUCGUGCAGCCUAAGAGGUGUGUGGCUUAUAUCAGGGAUACUGAAGCGCAUUACCGUUCAUUGAUCAUUUUGUAGUUUGUUUUCCCUUAUUCGUAAUUUAAUCUGUUAGAAAUAAGUUUCCUUUUAUUAAAGAUGACAUCCCUAAAAUAGGGAAAGUUGUGUCCAUGAUUCAAGCAUGAAUGAACUUCUAAAUGUAACCCAACUCUGUCUAUCUUUCUCCCCAGUACCCCUCCUCUUGAAGCCUUCAACGUUUGAUUACUUUUCUCACAUAUGUAUUUGCUUUCAUUGAACUAUGGUUCUGUUGCUUCAGAACAAGGUUCAUCAGCUGAACAAUAUGAUGUGGUCUGUGUGAUGCCAACAUUUGUGCUUCUUCUGGUAGAAUUAAUAACCACCCUCACUGUCUUAUAUCUACUAGUGAUAAUAUGAUUGUUUGAUUAUCAGUGCUUGGUCCAUGCCCAUGACACUUGCAUCCAACCAAAAUGUCUGACGAUUUGUGUUGUUUGAGUAUGUUGAAAUUAUAUCUCUAUGGCAAUUGAUGCUUGCUGGGGUAGGGGAAACUUAUACAUGCGGAUAUUUGCUAGUGAUGAAUUUUGUGUUUGUUUUCUAGAUCCCAAAUCUUGAUGUUGACCUGCCAGUAACAGUUAUCUCCUGGUGCUUGUUCCUGUGAUAUUUACUAACAUUUUGGAGGUCAAAUACUAUUAAAACUUCAAGCAUAGGAAUAACCACACUUGAACCGAAUUUGAUUGGAAACAAAACAAAUGGUGUCCUAUUGGUUACUAUCUACUGGCUAGGUCUGGUAUUUACCAAAACUAAACCUCGCUUUCAUUCACGGUACCCAAUAUGGUGUCUUAUUUGUUGUAUGCCAUCAAUCAUGUAAGCAGAUCUUUUUUCCUACAAAAGAUUUGAGCAUUGAGCUAUUGUUGGAACUGCUACCUUCAUGGUAUACAUGUGUUAGUUAUAUGCAGUUUUAUUGGUGCUUGUGUUUGGAGAACUAUUCACUGCUUUCCAGCUUACUAGUUUGCUCAGGAGCAAGAACAUAUAUUUGAUAUGCAUAGUCUUCUCUCUCUAACUCUCUGCAUAUUAGUACUUAUGCUCUUCAUAUAUGUGCAUGAUGGUUGCCUGCUACCCUGCUUAAAUUGGACAGAAAUAUAUAUUUUGCACAUGUGAGGCCAGGUUGGUUGGGUGUUUCCUGAACAUGACCCACAACGAUGAGGUCGGCGGUUCAGGCAAGGCAUUCUAGGAGCUGUCCCAGGAGAUGGAGGAUGCUGUGGAAGACACCGAUCCCGACUACACAACCCCUAGUGACGUCGGGGAUGACACCACUGAUGGUGGCGCCGAGGAUGCCACCACUGAUGAUGGCAGCGCACACACAGAUGGUAGUGAUGCCCGCAGCUCUCUUCUAUGUGAUGGUAGUUUAGAUGGUCUAUAUAUCGACUUGUAAUGUGAAGACAAACUCGCUACUC